UGGCUCAGUUGGUAGAGCAUGGCAGUUGCAGUGCCAGGGUUGUGGGUUUGAUUCCCAC
rnacentral:tRNA from 1 species